GGACGCAUGUCUGGUGGUGGAAAGUUUUUUCGGUUGGGGAUGGGCUCGCGGCCUAUCAGUUUGUUGGUGAGGUAAUGGCUCACCAAGACGACGACGGGUAGCCGGCCUGAGAGGGCGACCGGCCACACUGGGACUGAGACACGGCCCAGACUCCUACGGGAGGCAGCAGUGGGGAAUAUUGCACAAUGGGGGAAACCCUGAUGCAGCGACGCAGCGUGCGGGAUGACGGCCUUCGGGUUGUAAACCGCUUUCAGCAGGGAAGAAGCGCAAGUGACGGUACCUGCAGAAGAAGUACCGGCUAACUACGUGCCAGCAGCCGCGGUAAUACGUAGGGUACGAGCGUUGUCCGGAAUUAUUGGGCGUAAAGAGCUCGUAGGUGGUUGGUCACGUCUGCUGUGGAAACGCAACGCUUAACGUUGCGCGUGCAGUGGGUACGGGCUGACUAGAGUGCAGUAGGGGAGUCUGGAAUUCCUGGUGUAGCGGUGAAAUGCGCAGAUAUCAGGAGGAACACCGGUGGCGAAGGCGGGACUCUGGGCUGUAACUGACACUGAGGAGCGAAAGCAUGGGGAGCGAACAGGAUUAGAUACCCUGGUAGUCCAUGCCGUAAACGUUGGGCACUAGGUGUGGGGGGCAUUCCACGUUCUCCGCGCCGUAGCUAACGCAUUAAGUGCCCCGCCUGGGGAGUACGGUCGCAAGGCUAAAACUCAAAGGAAUUGACGGGGGCCCGCACAAGCGGCGGAGCAUGCGGAUUAAUUCGAUGCAACGCGAAGAACCUUACCAAGGCUUGACAUACACCGGACCGUCCUGGAAACAGGUCCUCUUCUUUGAAGCUGGUGUACAGGUGGUGCAUGGUUGUCGUCAGCUCGUGUCGUGAGAUGUUGGGUUAAGUCCCGCAACGAGCGCAACCCUCGUUCUAUGUUGCCAGCACGUGAUGGUGGGAACUCAUAGGAGACUGCCGGGGUCAACUCGGAGGAAGGUGGGGAUGACGUCAAAUCAUCAUGCCCUUUAUGUCUUGGGCUUCACGCAUGCUACAAUGGCUGGUACAGAGAGAGGCGAACCCGUGAGGGCAAGCGAAUCCCUUAAAGCCAGUCUCAGUUCGGAUCGUAGUCUGCAAUUCGACUACGUGAAGUCGGAGUCGCUAGUAAUCGCAGAUCAGCAACGCUGCGGUGAAUACGUUCCCGGGCCUUGUACACACCGCCCGUCAAGUCACGAAAGUCGGUAACACCCGAAGCCGGUGGCCUAACCGUAAGGAGGGGGCCGUCUAAGGUGGGACUGGUGAUUGGGACUAAGUCGUAACAAGGUAGCCGUACCGGAAGGUGCGGCUGGA
rnacentral:rRNA from 1 species